rnacentral:SRP_RNA from 1 species
UGCCCUAUCUAAGCACGGAGUUGGGCCACACAGUCCAAACGAAAGUAUGGGCUGCUUGGUCUUUAUAAUGGGGCAGGCUGCAUAAGGCUGGUUUCACAGAACAACGAAUAGCUUCCACUCAAUGCAGUGGAAGGAUACCG